AUACUUACCUGGCAGGGAAGACAACAUGAUCAUGAAGGUGAUUUUCCCAGGGUGAGGCUCACCCAUUGCACUCCCCAAAUGUGAGAAUCUAGACUGCAAAUUUGGGGUAGUGGGGAACUUCAUUUGCACUUUCCCC
rnacentral:snRNA from 1 species